AAGAUAUCCUUAUUGCUGGAUGGUAGCUCUGGUCGUAGUGGACCAUAUCUGCAAAUGCUUCUGAACAUUGACAGAAUUUCUAAAGAUGACUGAGAAUAUUACUGAAGGAUCCUACAUGGAAGCUGUCUGAUUACACUGAGUGAUUCCUCUGGUGUGGUGUACCUCAGAGAAAAUAAACACUGUUGCAAGAGCUCAGAAGAUAUCCUUAUUGCUGGAUGGUUGCUCUCUGGUCGUACUUGAGCCCCCUGGACCAUGUCUGCAAAUGCUUCUGAACAUUGACAGAAUUUCUAAAGGAUCGCUGAGGACUCCCCCUCCAUGCGUGACAUCUUUGAGAAAUUUCCACGCUUUCUGGAGAUGCCAAGUUUGACUGGAACCAACUUUGCAUCCCUCGGCACUGACACUGAGAAGGUUUCAAGGACCCCACUACUAGGAGGCGAGAGUUUGACACGGCAGUGUCAUCACUGCCAUGGAUGACAAUGUAACCAUUCCUGUUGCUGAUUGCCUGACUUGCGCAGUGACAAGCUUUUCAUGCUCUACUGGGUGUGUAACUUGGCAUAUCCACCACAGUUUAACUCUGUUUUUGCCUCUUUUGAAUAUGUGUACGAUAUAACCAUCUCAACCAAAAAGUGGGCCAAGGUACUGGAACAUUUCUCACUUCAAGUUGCUCUGUAGUCACUGGACAUUUUUUAAAACAUCUACGCAAACACCACCACUCCACACCAUGUGUAUUUUAAUUACUUCUGAUUCCACUGACAUGCAGACUACAUCCUAUGCAGAUUCAGGUAAUUUACCUGGUACUGGAGAAACAGCAUUGUAUGCCAUUCUAAGUGAUACUUGCCUCCUUGUUUUGCAAAAAUGUACUGUUCUUUGAAUAUAACUUAAAGUAAGAUCAUGUUGACUCUGAGGUUUUCUCCGGUUGUCAAGCACAACCUUAACGUUUUGUAAGUAAGUAAUAGUCAC